UACAGAGGGUGCAAGCGUUACUCGGAAUCACUGGGCGUAAAGCGUGCGUAGGCGGUUGAUUAAGUCUGCUGUGAAAGCCCUGGGCUCAACCUGGGAACUGCAGUGGAUACUGGUCAGCUAGAGUGUGAUAGAGGAUGGUGGAAUUCCCGGUGUAGCGGUGAAAUGCGUAGAGAUCGGGAGGAACACCAGUGGCGAAGGCGGCCAUCUGGAUCAACACUGACGCUGAGGCACGAAAGCGUGGGGAGCAAACAGG
rnacentral:rRNA from 1 species